CCUCCUGGUAAGAAACCCAUAGGCUGCAAAUGGGUUUAUAAAAUCAAAUAUAAAGCUGAUGACACUGUUGAAAGGCAUAAAGUUAGGCUUGUGAUUAGAGGUGAUACUCAGGUUGAGGGCAUUGAUUUCACUGACACUUUUUCCCCAGUGGUUAAGAUGUCCACUGCUAAGUGUCUUAUUGCUGUGGCUGUUAAGAAUAAUUGGAAGUUGUUUCAACUUGAUGUUAACAAUGCUUUCUUACAUGGUGAUUUGGAUGAGGAAGUCUAUAUGAAGCUCCCUCCAGGUUUGACUGUUUCUUCUCCUUCUUCUGCCUCUGUUUCUACUGCAUCUGCUCCUCCUGUCUGUAAGUUGAAAAAUCUCUCUAUGGGUUGAGACAAGCAUCCAGACAAUGGUAUGCUAAAUUGUCUUCUGCUCUAUAUUCCAGAGGCUACACUCAUUCUUUGAAUGAUUAUUCUUUAUUCAUCAAAGGUAAACCUGGGUCUAUUGUGAUUGUAGCAGUUUAUGUGGAUGACAUUAUUCUAACUGGGGAUGAUUAUGAUGAGAUUGCUGCCCUGAAACUGUUUCUGGAUGAUCAGUUCAGGAUUACAGACAUAGGGUCUUUGCAUUAUUUUUUGGGCGUAGAGGUGUCAGUUGUUCCUGGUGGGGUGAUCCUUAAUCAGCAUAAAUAUAUUUCUGACCUGCGGCAUAGAGGUGUCAGUUGUUCCUGGUGGGGUGAUCCUUAAUCAACAUAAAUAUAUUUCUGACCUGCUGCAUCAGUUUGACUAUGUUAAUGUUUCUGCUGUUGGUAGUCCUUUGGAUAUUAAUAUCAAACUUCAUGCUGAUUCUGGUGAUCUUUUUUCCUCCCCUGAUCAAUAUAGGAGUAUUGUUGGUAAACUCCUAUUUUUGACUCACACUAGGCCUGACAUAUGUUUUGUUGUUCAACAUCUAAGUCAAUUUCUGAAAUGUCCCAGAGUCCCUCAUAUGAAUGUUGCCCUCCAUGUCCUCAGAUAUCUCAAGGGCACCUUAUCUUCGGGUUUGUUCUAUUCUUCCAGUUCUGAUUUCUCUGUUACUGCUUAUUCUGACAGUGAUUGGGCUGCUUGCCCUGAUACUCGGAGAUCUAUUACUGGUUUUUGUGUUCUCUUGGAUGGUUGUCUGAUUAGUUGGAAGUCCAAAAAGCAGCCUGUUGUCUCCUUAUCUUCUGCUGAGGCAGAAUAUAAGGCACUCAGUAAAGUGGUUGCUGAGUUGACUUGGCUCUCUCGUUUACUAACUGAUAUUGGAGUUUCUGUUGCUCUUCCUUUCUCUGUUUUUUGUGACAGUCAAGCUUGAUUAGUUGGAAAUCCAAAAAGCAGCCUGUUGUCUCCUUAUCUUCUGCUGAGGCAGAAUAUAGGGCACUCAGUAAAGUGGUCGCUCAGUUGACUUGGCUCUCUCGUUUACUAACUGAUAUUGGUGUUUCUGUUGCUCUUCCUUUCUCUGUCUUUUGUGACAGCCAGGCUGCCAUUCAUAUCGCCAAGAAUCCUGUUUUUCAUGAACGGACUAAGCACAUUGAGGUGGAUUGUCAUUUUAUUCGGGAUCAGCUGAAUGGUGGUUUCAUUAUUGUUUCUCAUGUGCCUACUUCCCGACAGCUUGCUGACCUCCUCACCAAUCCUCUGCCCGGGACUGUCCUCCAUCCUUUGCUGCUCAAGUUGAAGGUGGUCUCCCCCUCCAACUUGAGGGGGGGUGUCGAGCUACAAGAUUAUUUGGCCUCUAAGCCUAAUCAUAAAUAUUGAUAUUGAAUUGUAUAUCUGUUGUAUAUUCCUUGUAUAUGCUGUAUAUUAUAGGCUUAGUCAGCUUUGG
rnacentral:lncRNA from 1 species